AGGACGAACGCUGGCGGCGUGCUUAACACAUGCAAGUCGAGCGGAAAGGCCCUGCUUUUGUGGGGUGCUCGAGUGGCGAACGGGUGAGUAACACGUGAGUAACCUGCCCUUGACUUUGGGAUAACUUCAGGAAACUGGGGCUAAUACCGGAUAGGAGCUCCUGCUGCAGUGGUGGGGGUUGGAAAGUUUCGGCGGUUGGGGAUGGACUCGCGGUCUUAUCGAGCUUGUUGGUCGGGUAGUGGCUUACCGAAGGCUUUGACGGGUA
rnacentral:rRNA from 1 species